rnacentral:rRNA from 1 species
UCCUACGGGGGGCAGCAGUGAGGAAUAUUGGUCAAUGGGCGGGAGCCUGAACCAGCCAAGUCGCGUGAGGGACGACGGUCCUAUGGAUUGUAAACCUCUUUUGUCGGGGAACAAAGGCGCCCACGGGUGGGCGGAUGAGUGUACCCGAAGAAAAAGCAUCGGCUAACUCCGUGCCAGCAGCCGCGGUAAUACGGAGGAUGCGAGCGUUAUCCGGAUUUAUUGGGUUUAAAGGGUGCGUAGGCGGAUCGUUAAGUCAGUGGUCAAAUUGAGGGGCUCAACCCCUUCCCGCCAUUGAAACUGGCGUU